UUCCGGUUGAUCCCGCCGGACCCGACUGCUAUUUGGGUAAGACUAAGCCAUGCAAGUCUAAUGGUAUCACUUGGUACCAUGGCGAACUGCUCAGUAACAUGUGAUUAACUUACCCUUCGGUGGAGAAUAAUCUCGGGAAACUGAGGCUAAUACUCCAUAUUUGGAAUGGGCUGGAAUGCUGUUCCAUUGAAAGAUAUUCUGAAUUGGAAGAUGUUUGCCGAAGGAUAGGAUCGCACUUGAUUAUGGUCGUUGGUGAGGUAAUGGCUCACCAAGCCUAUGAUCGAUAAGGGACGUGAGAGCGUGAGCCCUGAGAUGGGGACUGAGACACUGCCCCAGGCCUUACGAGGUGCAGCAGGCGCGAAACCUUUACAAUGCACGCAAGUGUGAUAAGGUUACCCAAAGUGACAUUGAUGCAAAAGCGAUUUGUCUGUUGGAUGUGUUUAAUGGGCCAUCCGAGGAAGGAGAGGGCAAGGCUGGUGCCAGCCGCCGCGGUAACACCAGCUCUUCAAGUGGUUGGGAGUUUUAUUGGGCUUAAAGCGUCCGUAGCCUGUUUGAUAAGUUCCUGGUUAAAUCCGGCAGCUUAACUGUUGGUCUGCUAGGAAUACUGUCUUACUAGAGGGCGGAAAAGGUCAGGGGUACUCCGGGGGGAGCGGUGAAAUGUGAUAAUCCUCGGGGGACCACCAGUGGCGAAGGCGCCUGACUGGAACGCGCCUGACGGUGAGGGACGAAAGGUAGGGGAACGAACGGGAUUAGGUACCCCGGUAGUCCUACCCGUAAACGAUGCGCUCUAGAUGUCGGCUCUGCUCCGAGCAGUGCCGGUGCCACAGGGAAACCGUUAAGAGCGCCGCCUGGGAAGUACGAUCGCAAGAUUGAAACUUAAAGGAAUUGACGGGGGAGCACCACAAGGGGUGAAGCCUGCGGUUUAAUUGGAUUCAACGCCGGA
rnacentral:rRNA from 1 species